rnacentral:rRNA from 1 species
UACGAAGGGGGCUAGCGUUGCUCGGAAUCACUGGGCGUAAAGGGUGCGUAGGCGGGUCUUUAAGUCAGGGGUGAAAUCCUGGAGCUCAACUCCAGAACUGCCUUUGAUACUGAAGAUCUUGAGUUCGGGAGAGGUGAGUGGAACUGCGAGUGUAGAGGUGAAAUUCGUAGAUAUUCGCAAGAACACCAGUGGCGAAGGCGGCUCACUGGCCCGAUACUGACGCUGAGGCACGAAAGCGUGGGGAGCAAAGCA